UGGGACCUGAUUCUCCACUGCCUUGUGCCUUGUGUAGUUGUUUACUCCUGCAUGGGGAGGGCAAAUGGGUGUAAAAUACCACCACAUUGGAACAGUGAGGGACAGAUGUUUCUGUAGAGGACAGGCUGUGAAUAGGGGACUCUAGACUGGGACACCUCCCAUGAGGUGCUGCUCGUGCAUUGUCCACUGGUCUAGCUCAGGACCUGCUGCUUCCACUGAAGAUUCCUUUGCAUGCUCUACAGUUAAGCCCCCAAGGAGGGCAAAUAAACAGCUGACAUUUUAUGACAUAAAGUUGAUUAAAAAUAGACACUGCGGGGCUAGAGAAAUACAGUUGCUCAACACUGCUUCGAGAGAUGAACCAGGAGACCCAGGCAUCAAUACCAUAGAUCUCCUACAAGUCCCUUCCGAAAGCUGUGGUGGUGGCGAGUGACUUCUCAUUUCUUAAAACAAAAUCUAGAAGAUGUGAUGCUAUGAACUUUUUGGAAAGAGUCUGUUGCUCUCUAACAUGGAAGCACUGUACCUACUAUACCUUGAGUCUGUUUGAAAUUGCCAGUUUGUCCUGCUUUGGGUGAAUCUGGUGGCAGGUGAAGGAGGCACUUAACAUACUUUAAGGUGGACUAUUCAUAUCAUUUCAUGGCACAUGAAACAUCAGUGCAUACCUUUUAUACCUUCAAAUGGUCAAAGACUUCCUCACCAAACUCUUGUAUGGAUCACUCUUGCAGUGCAUGGCCUUCUAUAGGGAACACAAGAGCUAGUACCAGCCCCAAUGAGCUUUCAGUCCAUUUAGAUUUGACAUGAAAUGAUGGAGGGAGAUGUGAUAUCAGGCAAGGAGGAAGAAAGGGUGCAUCUUACACAAAAGGGUAAG